UGAUUCGUAAACUUUGAAGGCAAGAGGGAGCAGAGUUCUUUAUGACAAUCAAGCAUAUGCAAGCAAGCAAUCUUGUCCGGGCACUUUUAUCCUUGGUCAAUUCAGUAAUAGUCUCCAAUGCUCCCCCAUUUUCAGGCUCCGUGAACUUUGAAACAACGUCAGGAUUUCCCUUAAGGAUAGUGGCAACAGACUCUAGACUAGCAUCUGUUUGAGUUACAGACCCUCCAAGCAUGUAAGUGAUUCCAACGCUCCUCCAUUUUCAGGUUCCGUGAACUUUGAAACGACAUCAGGAUUUUCCUUAAGGAUAGUGGCAACAGACUCUAGACUAGCAUCUGUUUGAGUUACAGACCCUCCAAGCAUGUAAGUGAGUUUCUUUAAAACCCCAGAAUCGCUU
rnacentral:lncRNA from 1 species